rnacentral:lncRNA from 1 species
GCCAGUAGCUUCUUCUAGCAAGCCAAAAGUGCGGAUGGGCUGGGGAAUGACCUGCAAUGUUCUAGCUAGCCCUUGUAUGGUUGCACAUCUUGCACAGCACCUGGGCUAAAAAUGGAGCAUGUGCACUGCAUGCACUCUAUCAGGGCUAGUUGUGUGUAAUAUAGAGUAAUUAUAGUGUGGUAUCUGUGGGAACAAAUAUUCCGGCUUUCAAU